GCAUUGAGUUUAUUCUUGCGGGAAUUUAGGAGCCAUCAGUGAGAUACCACUCUGGUAAUGUUAGAUUUCUAACUUUGUAUCAUGAUCCGGUCAAAGAACAGUUUCAGGCGGGCAGUUUGACUGGGGCGGUCGCCUCCCAAAUGGUAACGGAGGCGUACAAAGGUUUCCUCUGAACGUGUAGAAAUCGUAUCUAGAGUGUAAAGGCAUAAGGAAGCUUGAUUGUGAGACCUACAAGUCGAACAAAGACGAAAGUCGGCCUUAGUGAUCCGACGGUUCCGAGUGGAAGGGCCGUCGCUCAACGGAUAAAAGUUACUCUAGGGAUAACAGGCUGAA
rnacentral:rRNA from 1 species